rnacentral:rRNA from 1 species
CAGUAGCCACGGUAACACGAAGGUCCCGAGCGUUGUUCGGAAUCACUGGGCGUAAAGGGAGCGUAGGCGGCGUGGUAAGUCAGAUGUGAAAUCCCGGGGCUCAACCCCGGAACUGCAUCCGAUACUGCCAUGCUAGAGGAUUGGAGAGGUAGCUGGAAUUCUUGGUGUAGCAGUGAAAUGCGUGGAGAUCAAGAGGAACACUCGUGGCGAAAGCGAGCUACUGGACAAUAACUGACGCUGAGGCUCGAAGGCCAGGGUAGCGAAAGGGAUUAGAUACCCGAGUAGUCCCUGUCUCUUAUAC